GAUGAAUCGCACUUUGGCAAAUGUGCUUUUUAUGUGCGCUGAAAAAAAGAGGAGGAAGCGAAAGAGGAGAAUAUGGACACGGUCAUGGCUAGGAAAAAGAGGCCAACUUAGCAUGGCAAUUUUGUAAAUGGAGCUUGAGGUAAGUAGUUUAAGUUUUAAGCGUAGUUUUGCGUUUUUGUCGUGUUGAUCAAUACACCACUUCAUGUUGCAGUUUAAUUGGCUAUUCAGCAGACCGUAGUAGCAGCAAAAACAUUUAGAGAUGAUCAUGCUAAAUUUCUGACACUGUCACAAAAUUAUCGCAGGCUAUCUUUCCUCGCAAGACAAUGACGAAGGCCGUCUUUGGACCUCUCUCACUGUACAACAUAGGACCACCAUUUCAGAGUCACGAAAUCACCACGAUUGGUCAUCUUUUGUCUGGGACAGCCCAAAAUCAUACAAUGUGUACCAAGCAUUACAGUUGAAGGUUGAGAAUCGUUAGGGGUAAGGAUUGGUAUUGAAAGGUUCAAAAAGUGGUUAGGGCCGAAGGUUAGAAUCCAGAAAUUCGGGUUAGGGUUAGUUUAAAAGUCAAGUUUAGAAAUAGAGAUUUGAGUUUAGAGUUUAAAUUUAAUGUUACAGGUUAGGGUUACUUAUGAAUAGGAGGUAGGGCCAUGGGUUAGGAUCAGGGUUGGGGUCAGAUGUAUGGUUAAGGGUUAGAAGUAGGGAUUCAAUGGAGAAAUUAGAUGAGUUUUAGGCAGAGGUGCUCAUUCCUGUACCUUAAGAUCGACCUUUCUAUUGAGUUCCAACCUUGCUCCAAUACACCUGUUUGCGAUUAUCAAGUGUUCCUGAAGAUCGUAAUUAGUUGUUUCAGGUAUAAUUGAAUAGGAUUGGAGGGAAACUUUGCAGGAAGAUAGAUUCCAGGAAGAGGAAUGAGUACCCCAGGUUUUAAAAUGUUGAUGGAGCACAUUCAAACUGGCAAAUUAACAGUCACCUUGAAUAAUGUUCAAUGCAACUCUGAAUGACACCACAUUAUUUUAUUUUGUAUAGUUAUGAUAUAAAGGCUGUUAAUGAGAUCCUUUGUUUAUUAUGUCAUUGUUUACGUGCAACGCGAAUAACAGUAUGCAUACAAGAAUUGUACAAAACAUGUAUGUAACCUAGAUUUGGAUCACACUUUUCUGUAAUAAAAUAUUGAUUGUAUCUUUUAAAUUAAAUAGCUGAUGUAUUCUUUGACUUCAU